GAAGCUGUACAAGGGUGCAUCAUGCUGCUUUUUCCCGUCCAAUACUCGAGAUCAUGAUGUAGUUAAUUGAAAGAUUCAUCGUCAAGAACUGAGUCAGGUUUCUUACUUUCGGUGUGUGAGAUUGAUCGUCACCCUCCUGGUUCCCCGGACCACUCCUUGGAGAAGCCAUGGGGGACGCAAGACUUGGAGAUGCCAUUAGGGACGUGGAUUACUUUGCUGCUCAAUUCAAGAAA
rnacentral:lncRNA from 1 species